rnacentral:lncRNA from 10 species
GUUUGAUUUUUGUGGGCCUUACUUUUCCCAUUUGCUCAUGUAUGUCUAUAUUCCUAUAUCUAAUGUUUCUUAAAAGACAAAUCUGACUGUGUAGGUGCAUUUGUUUAAAAAAUAUAACUCCCCAUUGCCUCUGGGAUAAAGUCUUAUCUCAGUUUACAUAUAUUCUUGAUAACCUCUCCAACUUUAUGUCUCACCACCCCCACUCACUUCGUAAUUCGUGCCUUAUCAGAAUGGACCUGUUAUACUGGCAGUUCACCAUAUAUACCAUUACAUUUUGUUUCUCCCAUCUCUCAGGUAGACUUACACUUUCGGCCCAGCACAUCAGUCAUCGCCCUUGCUUGCUUUCCUAUUCACUCCUGUUCUGGAAGGUGCACCACCUUUUCUUGGAAGGCUUCCCUUGCUCUCCCAGGCUAGAUGAGAUGUCCUUCCAUCAGUUCCCACAGCACCCUGUGCAUGUAUCUGUUGUGCACUUACCAAUAGUAUACAAGGGAUCUAUGACCCAAGUCUCUCCCCACUAGCUUGUAAGCUCCUCACAGACAGGAACCAUGUUUUGUCUUUGUACUCCAGUGCCUAGUAUAUAAGAGAUACUCAAUAAAUAAAUAUUUGUCAAAUCAACUAAUUGAUUCCUUGUGACCUAAUUCUAGAGAAUGGGAAGAAGGCCUGUUAUUUUGUUGUCCUUUAUGGUUCUUUAGGAAAGCUCUCCAAGCUUGGCAUUUGUCAGGGUGGGAGGAAAACUGUUGAAGUAUUAAGACUGGACACAUGGCUGCUAAUUCAUCAGCUUAUCAUUGAAAAAGUCCAUAGCCAAAACCUGACUGUGCACUUACUAUAGGACCCUGACCUGCCUGGGUCUCCCUGUCUCUCCAGCCAGUAUAUUUAAAGGUAAUGAGAUAAUGAUGAGUGUUUUGAAAAAUGUUUAGUGUUCAAAUAGAAACCAUUCGUGUCCCUUCACUCUCUGAACAUAGUCUGCAAAUCUCUCCCUCUCUGGUAUGUUUCUGUUUUGUGGAUUAGACUGCUAAAUAAGCGAAGAGUUAAUUUUGAAGUUCAGGUCAACAAAUUCCUGUUUGGAGACGGGCUGUUCCUGAAUACCAGGUUGUUAUCUGUCUAUUACAGCCCCUUCACUUCUGGGCUCCUGGCCCUUUGCGAAGUACUUCAGAAAGCCUAGAGAGAAGAGAGGGCCCUCAAAUCCCAUUCCAGCCCCUAAAUGAAAGUGGCAUCACAAGGAGAAAAGUGGAGGUAGAAAUGUACCAUGGGGGACGUUGCCCCAUUGCCUUUCUUCCCCUGACUACUGGGCUUCCUCUAUCAGCUUUUAACGCCUGGAAGUAGCUGAGUCUCCAGUCACUGGUGGCCUUCCCCAAGUGAGCUCAGCAGCAUGUGCUAAUAGGUGCCAAUACUGUGCUGGCUCCAGUGGGAUUCCUCUCUGCAAAGCUGCUGGCUUAGCUUGACUGUUUCCCUAUUCCUCUCCUUAGAACUUUCAUAGCCAGUCAAGCAUAGAAUUGCAUCCAUUCUUCUGAAAUAGGUACUGUGCCUAAUUUUUCAUUGGCUUGGCCAAGAUUCUGUUACCUGUAAUUAUGUCAUAUGGGCUGACUGGUGUAGGUUUGGUAGGCCUCACUGCUCUCCAGAGGCUAGUGUUCCUAUCCCAGGAUGGCUGUUGGGAUUAGGAGUGGAAUGAGGAAUAGUUUAGGACCACAAGAGAUUUGGCCUCCUUGGAACAUGUAGGAAGGCCUCAAGGAUGUAAUUCUAGCCCAGGGAAGAAAAUCCUUUUCAGCAGACGCUUCCCUUCCCUUCCCCUAGGGAAUGUGUCCCUACUAUAGUAAACUCUUCCUUAAGAGAGUUUUAUGUUUUCUCUGUCAGAUCAAUUUGUUUUUCUUAAUGUUGUUCCUAUCAAAAAAAAAAAAAAGGAAGAAAUACAGUCCUCAGACCUGACAGUUUCAUUUUUCCCCCCAAGUAGAAGCAAUAGAAACCUUAGCAGUUCCAAGACUCCUGGCACUCACUUUUCCUCUCCAUCUUUAGGUCUAACCCAGCUCAGCCCAGAGUAAAGACAUAAAAGCCUCACAUGUGAUUUCCUCUUGCAUUUUUUCUGCUAGAAGGGUCCACAGUACUUACUUUAUGCCUCAUCUCAAUUGAAGCUGGAUGAUGAGGAUAGUGGGCAGUGAUUGCAAUUGGGGAAUGCAUGUACUGGAUCACAUAAGGUCAUGAAAGUCCUUGAAACAGAGCCUUGCCAAGCAGAACCCUUGCCACUCAUGGUAUUCGAUACAGUCUACCCAUCUGACAUGAAAUGAUAUUCUUAAUGAGCCAUUCCUAUGGAAGAUAGCUAUUGCCAGGCACAUUCAGUCUCCUGGUCUCCCUCUCAUAGCUAUGUAGGGCCUAUGACCUAGAAUAAAUGGAAAAAUGUUAUCAGGAGGAAGAGACUGCUGGACUCCCCUGAGAGGUAGGGUUUGUGCUAGGAGAGCUGGGUGCCAUUUAUUUCAUUUUGAUAUAUCAGGUGCUCCUAGUAACAAUUCCUAGUUUCUCUUACCUCUGUAAUCAUCCUGAAUAGUCACUGCUUCUUGAGCUUUGGUGAGUGUUCUCU